rnacentral:tRNA from 2 species
UCCUGCAUGGCGUAAAUAGGUGAGCGUAGGCGGUUGUUACCCGUCUGGUCUUGGUUCGAAUCCAGGUGUGGGAGC